CUACGUGCCAGCAGCCGCGGUAAUACGUAGGGUGCGAGCGUUAAUCGGAAUUACUGGGCGUAAAGCGAGCGCAGACGGUUACUUAAGCAGGAUGUGAAAUCCCCGGGCUUAACCUGGGAACUGCGUUCUGAACUGGGUGACUAGAGUAUGUCAGAGGGGGGUAGAAUUCCACGUGUAGCAGUGAAAUGCGUAGAGAUGUGGAGGAAUACCGAUGGCGAAGGCAGCCCCCUGGGAUAAUACUGACGUUCAUGCUCGAAAGCGUGGGUAGCAAACAGGAUUAGAUACCCUGGUAGUCCACGCCCUAAACGAUGUCGAUUAGCUGCUGGGCAGCUUGACUGCUUAGUAGCGUAGCUAACGCGUGAAAUCGACCGCCUGGGGAGUACGGUCGCAAGAUUAAAACUCAAAGGAAUUGACGGGGACCCGCACAAGCGGUGGAUGAUGUGGAUUAAUUCGAUGCAACGCGAAGAACCUUACCUGGUCUUGACAU
rnacentral:rRNA from 1 species